ensembl:lncRNA
AUUGUAACGGACCUAUUGUGUAUCGACCUGUAUUGCGCCCCGGAACCUUUUAUUUACGUUUCACCCGGUACCCUUUUAGAGGCGCACAGCAGCAUUCAUGGCGAUGCGUGUCUCGCACGUAGUCGCGUCGAAAACUGUAUGAAGCAAGCUAACGGCCAGACCCAUAAAUGUCCGGUGAAUUCAACUUUUCCCGCUCAAUUUACCGUCGUCUUACACCCUUGGCAAGCGGAGCGAGUUUCACGGUGCCAUAGCAACAAAAGAACAAAAGAAUAAAAGGUUGCACCCGUCAGAGACUCUCCGGUUAUUUCGUGUCAAGGGCUGCUACAGUGAAACUCGACCACGACGAAUCCUCUUCCACGGACCCUCAACGCUGCAUCUGGACGUCCAACUUCGAUGUGCGGGCAUCUUCAAUACUGUAAAUAAGACAUUGCCCGAUGUCCUGCACACAUUCCCACAGGCGCCUCAGCUGCAUCAAGAGACACUGUACCCAUAAUCAAAGGUGAUAAAAAAAAAAGAACUUAAAAAACAGACUCUGGCAACCUAAGAGUUUAAGAA